rnacentral:misc_RNA from 1 species
GAUGAAGAACGCAGCGAAAUGCAAUACGUAAUGUGAAUUGCAGAAUUCAGUGAAUCAUCGAGUCUUUGAACGCACAUUGCGCCCCCUGGUAUUCCGGGGGGCAUGCCUGUCCGAGCGUCAUUGCUGCACUCAAGCACGGCUUGUGUGUUGGGCCUCCGUCCUCCUCCCGGGGGACGGGCCCGAAAGGCAGCGGCGGCACCGCGUCCGGUCCUCGAGCGUAUGGGGCUUCGUCACCCGCUCUUGUAGGCCCGGCCGGCGCUUGCCGACACAUCAAUCUUUUUUCCAGGUUGACCUCGGAUCAGGUAGGGAUACCCGCUGAACUUAAGCAUAUCAAUAAGCGGAGGA